UGAAUUCCCCAAUGACCCAAAGUCGAGAUUGUUUACCGUAGCAACAAUAACAACCGACUGUGAAUUACUUAAAGCACAUCACCUAAAGGAAACUGGUUAGUGUGUGACCGGCGAUUGAACGAGUCAACAGGCAAAAUGAAGCUCACAAUUUUUUAUUUGAUGACACUCGCUGCUAUAGCACUGGGAGAUGAGAAUUUAUCCAGACAGCUUAAAAAUGGAAACGAUCAAUUCACAGCUAACAUGUUCUCGGAAGUAGUGAAGGAGAAACCACACGAAAGUUUUGUAAUGUCAGCAUUCUCAGUGAUGACUCCUCUCGCUCAGCUGGCUUUGGCUUCUGAAGGAGAAUCUCAUGACGAACUGCUCAGCGCUAUUGGCAUGCCUAACGACAAUGUUACGAAAGCAGUAUUUUCUCAUUCCGAAGACAGACUGAAAUCAGUGAAGGGUGUUGUUCUCAAAACUGCGAGUAAAAUUUACGUCGCACAAAAUUACAAAUUAAAUGAUAAUUUUCAAGCUGUAACUCGCGACGUUUUCCACUCUGAAGUUCAAAACGUUAACUUCGUUGAUAGUACACCAACUGCGAAUGCAAUCAACUCCUGGGUAGAAGACCAAACAAACCACAAAAUAAAGAAUCUCGUUGACCCUAACGCGUUAAAUUCUGAUACUCGUGCAUUGUUGGUGAACGCCAUUUAUUUCAAGGGUCUUUGGCAAAAUCCUUUCAAUAAACAUGCAACAUCCGAAAAAGAUUUUCAUGUAUCAAAGGACAAGACUAACAAAGUACAAAUGAUGUACCAAAAAUCUGAAUUCAUGUAUGGCGAAAGUACCGAACUGAAAGCCCAGAUUUUGGAAAUGUUCUAUGAAGGACAAGAAGCCUCGAUGGUAUUGGUGCUUCCAAAUGAAAUCGACGGUAUCAAUGAAUUGGAACAAAAAUUAAAAGAUCCUACUGUUUUGGAGAAGGCCUUGAAAAACUUAUACCAGACUGAAGUUGAGGUUUUCAUUCCUAAAUUUAAAAUUGAAACAACUACUGAUCUUAAGAAGGUUUUGGAAAAUAUGGGCGUUAAGAGAGUUUUUUCAGCCAAUACCGCUCGCCUUAGCAACCUCUUGGAAGGGGGUGAUAAUGGUUUAUAUAUAUCUGAUGCUUUACAAAAGGCCUUUAUUGAAGUAAAUGAAGAAGGUGCUGAAGCAGCCGCUGCCAACGAAUUCGGAAUCGCUUUUCUAUCGGCAGUCGUCUCCUUCCCUCAAAGGUUCAUAGCAGAUCAUCCUUUCUUAUUUUAUUUGAGAGUGAGAGACGAAGUGAUAUUUAAUGGCGCCAACUUUAACUAGAACAAUGUGAGAGGCAAUGGAUUGAUUUAAAGGAUAAUUAUACAAUUUGUGUGAUUCAGUUUUCACACCUAAAUAAAUAAAAAAUAUGAAUUAAUAUUACUAAUAUAUCCAUUUCUAUAAUAAAAAUAAUAAAUAACGUGUGAUGAAGAUAAUUUAUUAUCAAAUGCCAUUUCAAGACAAUGAAACACGUUACUUCAAAUUAAAUAAUUUAAUGCAGUGAAAUACCCGUGCAAUAAUUUCUUAUAAGUUUUUAUUUUAGUUAAUGCAGUGUUACCCGUGAUAUAUUUACAAAAAUAAAGUUUAUAAAUAAUCA